CACCCUUGACUUGAUACCUUUUAAACUUUUCUUCCAUCAUUUCCUUAAUGGUGAUCUUUUGGAGGAUUGCUAAAUAAAAUACUUGCACUUAAAUUUGUUUCUCAGGGCAUGCUUCUUGGAAAAGCCUAAUCCAGAUGAGGAUUGAGUGAGUGGGGAGAGAGCAGGUGCAUGUUGAAAAGGGGACGUGGAGUCGUCUGAGGAUGUGGAGCAAAAGGAAGUCUCAGUUACUGCUGAUGGGAAUGCAAACCACAGCACUUUGCAGAAUUCAGCAGUUUUCUACAAGAUCAAAAUGUAGACUUCUCAGCUCCUCCACACCAUGUCUGCCUGAAUGUUGC
rnacentral:lncRNA from 1 species